GGUAUCUAUAUUACGUAUUCUUACAUCAUCCUGGUUGGAUAGAUAAGAUAAACAAGAAUUUGGUGUAGAAUAUAUAUCAGUCUCUUUAAUCUUUAAACUUUAGGAGUGAAUAUUAAUGAGAAAGAAGUGGAUUUGGUAAAAGUGAUGUUUCCAAGUGAAUGAGAAACAAAAGAAUAGAUUAAUUAGAAAAACAAAAGUAGUCUGCAGAUUUUGUGUAAAGAAAAGCUACAUUAUAUCUGUCUAUCUAUAUCUAAGACGAAAAAGGUAAAAAGGAAUUAGCUAGGUAGGAUUAUAGGGGAUAUGAACAUUGGUUCAAACUUCAAAGACUGAAUCAAUCAUCCAUAUAUAUCCGCUUUCAGCUUUCUACACAUGCUUUUCUGACUCACUCACUCAACCACUGGUAAAAACAGCAUGCAACAUUGCAAUUCCGGUGUAGUCAAAGUUGCACGAGAACCACUCAAAAGUUCUUCCCUUACCCCUUUCUUUCACUGUUUUGGGGCACACAAAAGCAACCUCAUAAAACAACAUCUACAUGCAAGUAAUAUGCAUGGGAUUGGGAUUGGGAUUUGGAUUGGGAUGGGUCCUUCCCCCACAAAAAGACAAUUUCCUACUUCACAUGAUUUGCGUGUGUCGGUCUCCAAUGUACAAUAUAUAUAAUAUAUAUAUAUAUAUGUCAGAAUUCAAACCACACAUGAUCAUACAUGCAUACAUUUAUAUGCACAAUAACCAGUGACCAACCACACAAUUUCAUAUUUCACAACCACUCAAGAACCGCCCUUAAUUUGUUUAUUCAUGAGGAUUCGAUUUUCAUUUUCAUGUUAAAGUAUUGGGCUUUCC
rnacentral:lncRNA from 1 species